UACGAGGGGUGCGAGCGUUGCUCGGAAUUAUUGGGCGUAAAGGGUAGGUAGGUGGUUUCAUUUGUCUGGGGUGAAAGCCUUGGGCUUAACUCAAGAAGUGCCCCGGAAACGGUGAAACUCGAGUACUGGAGAGGGUCGUGGAAUUCCUGGUGUAGCGGUGAAAUGCGCAGAUAUCAGGAAGAACACCCGUGGCUAAGGCGGCUCUCUAGUACGGUACUGACGCUGAGACGCGAAAGCGUGGGGAGCGAACAGG
rnacentral:rRNA from 1 species